UACGUAGGCAGCAAGCGUUGUUCGGAGUUACUGGGCGUAAAGGGUGCGUAGGCGGCCCUGUAAGUAUGGUGUGAAAUCUCCCGGCUUAACUGGGAGGGUGCGCUAUAGACUGCGGGGCUCGAGUGUGGGAGAGGAAAGUGGAAUUCCUGGUGUAGCGGUGAAAUGCGUAGAUAUCAGGAGGAACACCGGUGGUGUAAACGGCUUUCUGGACCAUAACUGACGCUGAUGCACGAAAGCGUGGGUAGCAAACAGG
rnacentral:rRNA from 1 species